rnacentral:misc_RNA from 1 species
AACUAAUCUGCAGCCCGACUUGAACGGAGCUCUUUUUUAUUUUUGGCUGAGCUUGUCGUGGUGGUUGAGCCUGCCGAAACUAAGCCAAUAAUAAAAAAAGCGGGAGUGGAAGGCGGAAUUGUCU